UGGGGAAUAUUGGACAAUGGGCGAAAGCCUGAUCCAGCCAUGCCGCGUGUGUGAAGAAGGCCUUAUGGUUGUAAAGCACUUUAAGCGAGGAGGAGGGUACUGGUAUUAAUACUACCAGGUACUGGACGUUACUCGCAGAAUAAGCACCGGCUAACUCUGUGCCAGCAGCCGCGGUAAUACAGAGGGUGCGAGCGUUAAUCGGAUUUACUGGGCGUAAAGCGUGCGUAGGCGGCUAAUUGAGUCGGAUGUGAAAUCCCCGAGCUUAACUUGGGAACUGCAUCCAAAACUGGCGAGCUAGAGUAGGGCAGAGGGUGGUGGAAUUUCCUGUGUAGCGGUGAAAUGCGUAGAUAUAGGAAGGAACACCAGUGGCGAAGGCGACCACCUGGGCUCAUACUGACACUGAGGUGCGAAAGCGUGGGGAGCAAACAGG
rnacentral:rRNA from 1 species